UGGGGAAUAUUGGACAAUGGAGGAAACUCUGAUCCAGCAAUUCUGUGUGUGUGAAGAAGGUUUUAGGACUGUAAAACACUUUUAGUAGGGAAGAAAAAAAUGACGGUACCUACAGAAGAAGCAACGGCUAAAUACGUGCCAGCCGCCGCGGUAAUACGUAUGUUGCGAGCGUUAUCCGGAAUUAUUGGGCUUAAAGGGCAUCUAGGCGGUAAGACAAGUUGAAGGUGAAAACCUGUGGCUCAACCAUAGGCUUGCCUACAAAACUGUUGAACUAGAGUACUGGAAAGGUGGGUGGAACUACACGAGUAGAGGUGAAAUUCGUAGAUAUGUGUAGGAAUGCCGAUGAUGAAGAUAACUCACUGGACAGAAACUGACGCUGAAGUGCGAAAGCUAGGGGAGCAAACAGGA
rnacentral:rRNA from 1 species